rnacentral:rRNA from 1 species
UACGUAGGGCGCAAGCGUUGUCCGGAAUUAUUGGGCGUAAAGAGCUCGUAGGCGGCCUGUCGCGUCCGCUGUGAAAUCCCGGGGCUUAACCCCGGGCCUGCAGUGGAUACGGGCAGGCUGGAGGCAGGCAGGGGAGAACGGAAUUCCCGGUGUAGCGGUGAAAUGCGCAGAUAUCAGGAAGAACACCUAUGGCGAAGGCAGCUCUCUGGGACGGUACUGACGCUGAGACGCGAAAGCGUGGGGAGCGAACAGG